AUUGAACGCUGGCGGCAGGCCUAACACAUGCAAGUCGAGCGGAUGACGGGAGCUUGCUCCUUGAUUCAGCGGCGGACGGGUGAGUAAUGCCUAGGAAUCUGCCUGGUAGUGGGGGACAACGUUUCGAAAGGAACGCUAAUACCGCAUACGUCCUACGGGAGAAAGCAGGGGACCUUCGGGCCUUGCGCUAUCAGAUGAGCCUAGGUCGGAUUAGCUAGUUGGUGGGGUAAUGGCUCACCAAGGCGACGAUCCGUAACUGGUCUGAGAGGAUGAUCAGUCACACUGGAACUGAGACACGGUCCAGACUCCUACGGGAGGCAGCAGUGGGGAAUAUUGGACAAUGGGCGAAAGCCUGAUCCAGCCAUGCCGCGUGUGUGAAGAAGGUCUUCGGAUUGUAAAGCACUUUAAGUUGGGAGGAAGGGCAGUAAGUUAAUACCGUUGAGGGAUGACAGUACCUGAAGAAUAAGCACCGGCUAACUACGUGCCAGCCGCCGCUGUAACAC
rnacentral:rRNA from 1 species